rnacentral:lncRNA from 1 species
GGAGCUUUGAGCCCAGCCCAGCAAGGGGGCAGCAUCUUCUACUAUGUGCAUCUACAUUGGAUGGCAGUGGAGCAACACAGAUUGUUUUCUGACAAAAAUCAGCCAAGUACUAGGAGAGGCAGGACUUUAGAAGUGGAGGAGAUGGAGAAGGAAGCUUAGGUUACUAUGGAGUGUGCAAAAAGGUCCUGUGGAUUUAGAUACCACCACACACAAAUGCUGUUGUUGGAAGGUACCUGCCCAGAUAAGGACUGCAUUUCCUCUAGCAUCCAGAUGGGACCAAAUGACUGCUGGCCAAUAGAAGUGAGUGGAAAGGACUGACUCCAGUUCCAGGUUGGGCCUCCAACUGCUCUGGGCACGUCGAUGGAACAGAACACCACCUCCACCCCAAUACCACCAAUUCAACUUUACAUGAAUUAUAAGCGAGAAAUAACUUGGACUGUGUUAAGUCAUUGAGUUUCUGGGGUUUAACUGUUAUUAUAGUUAAGAAUGACUUUAACUAAUAUAGUCAAUGACAUCUAACUGGAGUUAUGAAAUUCAAUUUCUACUUAGAGUAAUUGAAGCAAAGGUUGUGGGGGAGGGGAGGAGGGCAGCACACCAUGAAAUCAGAGAUCCCCAGUACGUGUUAGUUCAUCAGUCAAUCAGUCUUAAGGUCAGGGUGUAGUGUGGGCAGCAGUUGCCUCCCUCUCCCCACAGAACACCCUGAGAAUAGGAAGUUAGAGUAGUCG